rnacentral:rRNA from 1 species
AGCUAGUAGUUUGAUCCGUGGCUCGAGGACGAACGCUGGCGGCGUGCCUAACACAUGCAAGUCGAGCGGAGACAUACCACGGAGCUAAAGUUUUCGGACGGAGGCGAAGAGAUAUGUUUUAGCGGCGGACGGGUGAGUAACGCGUGAGCAAUCUGUCCUGCACGAGGGGGAUAACACAGCGAAAGUUGUACUAAUACCGCAUAAGACCACGACCGGGCAUCCGGAUGGGGUCAAAGGAGGAAUCCGGUGCAGGGUGAGCUCGCGUCCGAUUAGAUAGUUGGUGAGGUAACGGCCCACCAAGUCGACGAUCGGUAGCCGACCUGAGAGGGUGAUCGGCCACAUUGGGACUGAGACACGGCCCAAACUCCUACGGGAGGCAGCAGGUGGGGAAUAUUGGGCAAUGGGGGAAACCCUGACCCAGCAACGCCGCGUGAGGGAAGAAGGUUUUCGGAUCGUAAACCUCUGUCCUUGGUGAAGAGGAAGAGACGGUAGCCAAGGAGGAAGCCCCGGCUAACUACGUGCC